UCCCUGGUGGCUCAGAUGGUAAAGCAUCUGUCUACAGUACGGGAGACCCUGGUUCAAUCCCUGGGUGGGGAA
rfam:TPA: Bos taurus chromosome 12, whole genome shotgun sequence.